rnacentral:rRNA from 1 species
GACGAACGCUGGCGGCGUGCUUAACACAUGCAGGUCGAACGGAAAGGCCCUGCUUUUGUGGGGUGCUCGAGUGGCGAACGGGUGAGUAACACGUGAGUAACCUGCCCUUGACUUUGGGAUAACUUCAGGAAACUGGGGCUAAUACCGGAUAGGAGCUCCUGCUGCAUGGUGGGGGUUGGAAAGUUUCGGCGGUUGGGGAUGGACUCGCGGCUUAUCAGCUUGUUGGUGGGGUAGUGGCUUACCAAGGCUUUGACGGGUAGCCGGCCUGGGAGGGUGACCGGCCACAUUGGGACUGAGAGACGGCCCAGACUCCUACGGGAGGCAGCAGUGGGGAAUAUUGCACAAUGGGCGGAAGCCUGAUGCAGCAACGCCGCGUGCGGGAUGACGGCCUUCGGGUUGUAAACCGCUUUCGCCUGUGACGAAGCGUGAGUGACGGUAAUGGGUAAAGAAGCACCGGCUAACUACGUG